rnacentral:rRNA from 1 species
AUUGAACGCUGGCGGCGUGCCUAAUACAUGCAAGUCGAACGCAGUGGGGACGGGUGAGUAACACGUGGGUCACCUCCCAUCAGAGGGGAUAACACUUGGAAACAGGUGCUAAACCGAUACUGAUGGAUGGACCCGCGGUGCAUUAGCUAGUUGGUGAGGGAACGGCUAACCAAGGCCACGAUGCAUAGACGGCCUGCGAGGGGGAUGGGCCACACUGGGACGGAGCCACGGCCCAGAGUCCUACGGGCGGCAGCAGUGGGGAAUCGUGGGCAAUGGACGAAAGUCUGACCGAGCAACGCCGCGUGAGUGAAGAAGGUUUUCGGAUCGUAAAACUCUGUUGUUAGAGAAGCGGUAUCUAACCAGAAAGCCACGGCUAACUACGUGCCAGCAGCCGCGGUAAUAC